CACAAAUUCCAGCUACAAGGCAGAAACAUAAAAGAAUCUCUAUGUGGCUGCUUCAGUAAUAAAGUAAUUUGCUGAUAAAUUCAUCAGGAAAAGUGUACUACAGAGAACAGCUUGGAGAAACGGGGCAAUAUGAUCAAAGUCAGACCACUUGCAGUCAUCAAAGAAGACCAUUGUGCAGUUAUGUGCGUUAACAAAGCUUUGUCUUACAUAAGAAUGGAGGGACACACUGAGUUCACUCAGGAAUGAUUACUGCAAGGGAGAGUGACUUGACUCAUUGUAGACUUUUCUCACGGUAAGUAUGAAGCAAGAAUUAAAAGGGAACUAGAG
ensembl:lncRNA